rnacentral:misc_RNA from 1 species
GAUGAAUAACGUAGCGAAAUGCGAAAAGUAGUGUGAAUUGCAGAAUUCAGUGAAUCAUCGAAUCUUUGAACGCACAUUGCACCUCUCGGUAUUCCGGGAGGUAUGCCUGUUCGAGCGUCAUUUGUACCCUCAAGCUCUGCUUGGUGUUGGGUGUUUGUUCCGCCUCUGUGUGUGAACUCGCCUCAAAACAAUUGGCAGCCGGCGUACUUGUUUCGGAGCGCAGCACAUUUUGCGAUCCAGAUCAACGUACAGCGGCAUCCAAGAAGCCUUAUUUAACGCUCUUGACCUCGGAUCAGGUAGGGAUACCCGCUGAACUUAAGCAUAUCAAUAAGCGGAGGA